UUUUCUUCAUUUUCGCUCGUCUUUGCUCCGUGGGUCUCCUAUUCACUUCUAAUCGUACCAAGAUUCCCAAAACUUGUUUUCGAGCACGUUUAAACCAUCUUUUCAUCCACGCCUUGCCGGACUUCGGCCAAGGUCCAAUCAUAACUUUUCGAGUUCCGUUUUCGCGUCCGACGCAUACCGAAAACACCCGAACGCUCCGAAACUUCAUCGGAACUGCUCUAAUAGCAUUCCAAACGAACAUCCACCGUAACUUCAUAACUUUAGAAGUUCGGCACCUUACAUCCUCCCAUCCUUAAAAAGAGUUUCAUCCUCGAAACUCAAAUCACUUCUUAAUU
rnacentral:lncRNA from 1 species